GAUGAACGCGGCGGCGUGCUUAACACAUGCAAGUCGAACGAAGCUGUUAAAAGGAAGUCUUCGGAUAGAAUUUUAACAGACUUAGUGGCGGACGGGUGAGUAACGCGUGGAUAACCUGCCUUAUACAGGGGGAUAACGGAGAGAAAUUUCCGCUAAGACCGCAUAAGACCACAGCACCGCAUGGUGCAGGGGUAAAAAUAUUAAUAGGUAUAAGAUGGAUCCGCGUCCGAUUAGCUUGUUGGUGAGGUAGAGGCUCACCAAGGCGACGAUCGGUAGCCGGCCUGAGAGGGUGAACGGCCACAUUGGGACUGAGACACGGCCCAAACUCCUACGGGAGGCAGCAGUGGGGAAUAUUGGACAAUGGGGGAAACCCUGAUCCAGCGACGCCGCGUGAGUGAAGAAGUAUUUCGGUAUGUAAAGCUCUAUCAGCAGGGAAGAAAAUGACG
rnacentral:rRNA from 1 species